UACGUAGGGGGCUAGCGUUGUCCGGAAUCAUUGGGCGUAAAGAGCGUGUAGGCGGUCCGGUAAGUCCGUUGUGAAAGUCAGGGGCUCAACCCUUGAAUGCCGGCGGAUACUGUCGGGCUAGAGUCCGGAUGAGGCGAGUGGAAUUCCCGGUGUAGCGGUGAAAUGCGCAGAUAUCGGGAGGAACACCUAUGGCGAAGGCAGCUCGCUGGGACGGUACUGACGCUGAGACGCGAAAGCGUGGGGAGCAAACAGG
rnacentral:rRNA from 1 species